rnacentral:rRNA from 1 species
AGUUAGUUACGGCGGACGGGUGAGUAACACGUGGGCAACCUACCUUGUAGAUUGGGAUAACUCCGGGAAACCGGGGCUAAUACCGGAUAAUCCAUUUUGCUUCAUGGCGAGAUGUUAAAAGGCGGCUUCGGCUGUCACUACGAGAUGGGCCCGCGGCGCAUUAGCUAGUUGGUAGGGUAAUGGCCUACCAAGGCGACGAUGCGUAGCCGACCUGAGAGGGUGAUCGGCCACACUGGGACUGAGACACGGCCCAGACUCCUACGGGAGGCAGCAGUAGGGAAUCUUCCACAAUGGACGAAAGUCUGAUGGAGCAACGCCGCGUGAGUGAAGAAGGUUUUCGGAUCGUAAAACUCUGUUGUAAGGGAAGAACACGUACGAGAGUAACUGCUCGUACCUUGACGGUACCUUAUUAGAAAGCCACGGCUAACUACGUG